rnacentral:rRNA from 1 species
CCUCCUUUGNGAGUCAANCAGNUGCUGUAUAUCAACCCAUAUACAGCCCACAGAUCAAACACGAGUGGCUAAUUCCCCUUUCUAUCCAGGACGGUGGAUUUUAGUUAAGAUAUGACCGUAGCUGCCCUGUAAGGGGCUCGAGACACUAGUUCCGUAGGUGAACCUGCGGAAGGAU